rnacentral:rRNA from 1 species
CCUACGGGAGGCAGCAGUAAGGAAUAUUGGUCAAUGGGCGCAAGCCUGAACCAGCCAUGCCGCGUGCAGGAAGACGGCCCUAUGGGUUGUAAACUGCUUUUGAACAAGAGAAAACCUCGGUACGUGUACCGAGCUGAUAGUAUUGUUAGAAUAAGCAUCGGCUAACUUCGUGCCAGCAGCCGCGGUAAGACGAAGGAUGCAAGCGUUAUCCGGAUUCAUUGGGUUUAAAGGGUGCGUAGGCGGCCUGAUAAGUCAGUGGUGAAAUCUCUCAGCUUAACUGAGAAACUGCCAUUGAUACUGUCGGGCUUGAGUACAGAUGAUGUGGGCGGAAUAUGACAUGUAGUGGUGAAAUACUUAGAUAUGUCAUAGAACACCGAUUGCGAAGGCAGCUCACAAAACUGUAACUGACGCUGAGGCACGAAAGUGCGGGGAUCAAACAGGAUUAGAUACCCUGGUAGUCCGCACCGUAAACGAUGAUUACUCGUUGUUGGCAAUAUGACCGUCAGCGACCAAGCGAAAGCGANAAGUAAUCCACCUGGGGAGUACGCCGGCAACGGUGAAACUUAAAGGAAUUGACGGCGNGAGAGNGCGACGGACGACGACGAGGGAGGUAGG